AAGAAAUAAAAUAUGUCACUCUGGAAAUCUUUGCCUCAAGCAACUGCCUUAUAAAAAUGAAGGUAAAAUAUAUAUAUAUAUAUAUAUAUAUAUAUAUAUAUAUAUAUAUAUAUAUAUAUAUAUUUUAGACUGAAUCUUAAAGGGUAAACUGAUAGAUUUUCAUUAAAGAAAAUCCUGAAGUCAGUACUUAAGGCAAAAAAAGCACUUCUGAGAUGCAAGAAGGCAUGGUAAGCAAAGAUAUUAUUAUAAUAAGUUUUAAUGAAAGCCAAAAAAUUGACUCUAUAAAACAAUGUCUAAUUUGUGAGAAAAAAAUAUCAAAAUACUGGAUAACAACGCAUAUAAAUUGCUCUUUAUAUUAUUGGGGAGGGCAAAGAUAUUAACUUCAGGUCUUGCAAAGUCAAUGGCUACAGUAACUACUAGAAAAACAAAGAGUAUGUAUAACUUCUAAACAAUAAAAAUUGAAUAAUAAAAUAUCUUUAAUUUUUUGAAAGAAAGCAAGAGUGAUAGAUAAUAUUUGUUUAGCAACAUUUUUUCUUCUAUACUCCUCUCUGAGUAUAGAAGUGGGAAGCCAGGCUCCUUGCUGUCUGGCUUUCUGCUACAUUUUGCCAGUGGAAAGCACCUGUGGGGAUUGAAGAGUAGGAGGGAGAAUUCAUUUUUCCCCUAGUGUUUGGUGGCAACAAGAGUGGCAACUGUCAGCUAGGUGGCUCAUGCCUAUAAUUCCAGCACUUUGGGAGGCCAAGGUGGGUGGAUCACCAGAGGUCAGGAGUUCGAGACCAGCCUGGCCAACAUGGAGAAACCCCAUCUCUACUAAAAACACAAAAAUUAGCCAGCUAUGAUGGUGCAUGCCUGUAGUUCCAGCUACUUGGGAGACUGAGGCAGGAGAAUCACUUGAACCCAAGAGGAGAAGGUUGGAGUGAGGAGAUCACACCACUGUACUCCAGCCUGGGUAACAGAACAAGACUCCAUCUGAAAAAAAAAAAAAAAAAGAGUGGCAACUGUCAAGUGUAGCAGGCAGCAUGGUUUCAACUUCAUUUUCUCUUUGGCCUCUUUAGCUCUAGGAAUAACAAUAAUCAUUUUUAGUUACUAAUUUUUGGGUAACAUCAUACUCCCUUUCUGCUCCAGUACUUCUAAUACUUUUAUAAUAAUUUCCCUUUAUGUGAAAUAUGUACGGUAUUUUCUGUUUUCCUGACUGGGCAUUUAAAUGAUAUAGUAAGAAAGAAAGAAACAAAACAGAAAGGGCAGGAUAAAUAGCACAUAAGCAGAUGGCAUAGAUAAAUACAAAUAAGAAAUCACAACAAAUAUAAGUGGACUAAACUCUCAAGUUAAAAGACAAUGCUAGACUGGAUUUUAAAAAAAUAAAGAAAGAACAUGUAGCUAUAUGCUGUUAAGCAGAGACAUACCUAAAACAAGAAAAGUCUGGGUGUGGUGGCACACUCCUGUAAUCCCAGCUACUCAGGAGGAUGAGGUAGGAGAAUCGCUUGAACCCCGGAGGCGGAGGUUGCAGUGAGCCAAGAUCACGCCACUGCACUCCAGCCUGGGUGACAGAGUGAGUCUCCAUCUCAAAAAAAAAAAAAAUGUAAAAAGCAUAAUUUAAAAACAAAAUAGAAAUAAACAAAUCCACAAACAUAGUGAGGAAUUUUUAUAUCUCUUAGUAAAUGAUAAGCCCCCUCAAAAAAUCGUAAUGAUAUAAAAUAAUUGAACAGCUUAAAUAACAAAUUUAACCCAGUGGAUAUAUGAGAAAGUUGCACACUUGCUGGUUAUUCUCUGUUCUUCAAUCUCAGAUCCGUUUCCUGCCCUUCCUUCCAUGCUCUGUGUCCUGGGCGUGCUAACUCCACAGAUGGCAUCACCCAGAUUUCAUGACGCUCUGCUUCCCUAUUGAAAUCAGCCAAGGGGAGUCACUAGUAGAUGGUCAGAGAAUGGAGAAAUAGAAAGGUCAGAAUACAUCCUCCAUUUCCAGCCUGCUUCAGCAACACAAUUCUGGCAAUGUAAUGUCUCUAUAACAAUGUCUCUAUAACUAUGGCUCCAUCCUCUGACCUCAGCCUUGCAAGUAGCUGAGGCAGGAAAAUUGCUUGGACCCAGAGGGCAAAGGUUGCAGUGAGCCAAGACUGGCCACUGCAUUCCAGCCUGAGUGACAGAGCAAGACUCCAUUUAAAAAAUAAAAUAAAAUAAAAGUAAAAGUUGGCCAGGUGCAGUGGCUCAUGCCUGUAAUACCAGCAUUUUGGGAGGCCAAGGUGGAAAGAUGACUUGAGACCAAGAGUUUGAUACCAGCCUGGGCAACACGGUGAAACCCUGUCUCUACAAAAAAUUUUAAAAUAAAAUAUUGGCCGAGCAUGGUGGCGUAUGCCAGCUACUUGGGAGGCUGAGGUGGAAGGAUUGCUUAAGCCCAGGAGUUCAAGGCUGCAAUGAGCUAUGAUCACACCAUUGCACUCCAGCCUGGGCAAAAGCGCGAGAUCCUGUCUCUAUUUGUUGUUUUAAAAAAUUUCUUCAAGUUAUAAUAUUACAGUAGGUAACGGUGAAGAACAAGUAGGGGAUAUGGAAAAUAUAAUUGGAGAAAUCUUCCGGAAUAUAUAGAGCAGUAAUAAGAGAAGAUAUAAAAGAUAAGUUAAACAAAAAAGAAUUAUCAUUAUUAUUAUUAUUAUUAUUGG
rnacentral:lncRNA from 1 species